rnacentral:rRNA from 1 species
GAAGAAUAAGCACUGUNAACUGGGUCCCAGCAGCUNAGGUAAUAGGUAGGGUGCAAGCGUUANUGGAAUUAAUGNGCGUAAUGCGUNCGCAGUCGGUUUUGUAAGACANUUCGUAAAAUNUCUGNUCUUACCCUGGUAAUUGCAUUGGUGUCUGCAAGGCUAGAGAAUGACAGAGGUGAGUAGAUUUCCCCGUGUAGCAGAGANAUGAGUAGAGAUGUGGAGGAAUACCGAUGGAGAUGGCAGCCCCUGGNCCCAAUACUGUCGUUCAUGCACGACAGUGUGGGGAGCAAACAGGAUUAGAUCCCUUGGUAUUCCUCGCCUUAAACGAUGUCACCUAGUUGUUGGGGAUUCUUUUCCUUAGUAAGGUAGUUAACGCGUGAAGUUGCCCGCCUGGGGAGUACGGUCGCAAGAUUAAAACUUAAAGGAAUUGACGGGGACCCGCACAAGCGGUGGAUGAUGUGGAUUAAUUCGAUGCAACGCGAAAACCCUUACUUCCCCUUGACAUGUACGGAAUCCUGAUGAGAGGUGGGAGUGCUCGAAAGAGACCCGUACCCCAGGUGCUGCAUGCCGGUGGUCAGCUCGUGUCGUGAGAUGUUGGGUUAAGUCCCGCAAUGAGCGCACCCCUUGUCUUUAGUUGUUACGCAAGAGCCCUCUAAGGAGACUUCCGGUGACAACCCGGAGGAAGGUGGGGAUGCCGUCAAGUCCUCAUGGCCCUUAUGGGUAGGGUUUCACACGUCAUACAAUGGUCGGUACAGAGGGCUGCCAACCCGCGAGGUGGAGCUAUCCCCAGAAAACCGAUCGUAGUCCGGAUCGCAGUCUGCAACUCGACUGCGUGAAGCUGGAAUCGCUAGUAAUCGCGGAUCAGCAUGUCGCGGUGAAUACGUUCCCGGGUCUUGUACACACCGCCCGUCACCCCAUGGGAGUGGGUUCUGCCAGAACGU